AUAUCAAUAAGCGGAGGAAAAGAAACCAACAGGGAUUUGCCUUAGUAACGGCGAGUGAAAGCGGCAAUAGCUCAAAUUUGAAAUCUGGCCUCAUGGUCCGAGUUGUAAUUUGUAGAGGAUGCUUUCGAGCAUGGUCUGGUCUAAGUUCCUUGGAACAGGACGUCAUAGAGGGUGAGAAUCCCGUAUGUGGACUAGGUGCCUAAGCUCAUGUGAAGCUCCUUCGACGAGUCGAGUUGUUUUGGGAAUGCAGCUCAAAAUGGGUGGUAAAUUUCAUCUAAAGCUAAAUACUGGCCAGAGACCGAUAGCGCACAAGUAGAGUGAUCGAAAGAUGAAAAAGCACUUUGGAAAGAGAGUUAAACAGUAC
rnacentral:rRNA from 1 species